UGGAGACAAAUAUAAUAUCGUCACCUAUAAUUUAAGAGACAAAACGAUGCCGUUUUGUCUUCCCAAUUCUUCUCUCUCGCACUUUUUCUCUCUCUCUCUCUCCCCCUCUCUACUUCAGGUUGUAACCCCUCCAACUCGCUGCUCGCAAGGUAAGAUUUCAUUCCCGAUUCAGUGUUUUGGCGAAACCAUGCUUCGAUUAGCUCACCGAGUUGGCUCCUUAGUGGCUUCAAGUCGCAACCCUCCCACUGUGCUUCGAUUGGCUUCACCACCACCACAACCACUGUCAUCAUCAUCAACUUCUUCAAACCCCCUCCGGAUGAAUAUGGAGAGUAUGCGCAAUAGUGAAGGCAGUUCUCAUGGAGAAAAUACAAACUCAAGUCAACAAAAAGAAGAUAACUUGGAAGUACAUGGCCAAUGGAAUUAGAAUGGUGAGGCUGCUCCAUUAACUGCUGAAAAGGUGAGAUCUGCUGCCAAAGCUAGUCUUGCUACUGCUGCAACAAAGGCAAAACUGUUUGCAGAUCAUGAAGAGCGUGAAAUUCAAAGGCUAUCUGCUAAUAUUAUAAAUCAUCAGGCUGUAUGAUCUCCAGGCCAAGAAAACAAAAAGGAAACAUUUUAUUGAAGGAAUUUCUCGUAGGAUCAAUUGUCAUUUAUGGGGUAAGGAGUGGAAAAAAUAAUUGCACUAUAACACUUUCUCCAGGCCAAGAGCAUAAGGUUGAGGGUUUGGCAUUAAACAGAGCUUCAUAGAUUCUGUGGGUCACUGUAACGCUUUAUGAACCAAUUCCCAAUGGUUUCUAUUCUAUAGGUGCAGUGAGUAGUAUAUAUUUUUGUUGAAAUGUGCAACUAGUAGAAUGUAGUUUUUGCUUUUCUGUGCUAGGAUCUUUGGUGCAAGUGAGCAUGUUUGGAGAUUAGAAGUGAUUAGCAAAAAAAGGAUAUAUUAUUUGAAUUUUGAAUGCAGGUAUAGUGUGCUAAAGUUUCUUGCCUUGUCUGUGGCUGAUUCCAUCAAACUUGCACAUCACUUGUAAUCAUGGAUCAGCAUGUCAUAGUGUAUAUGUAUGUGGGCAGUCUACAGAAGUAGAUCAGCAUGUCAUAGUGUAUAUGUAUGUGGGCAAUCUAACAGUCUAUAAUUGUAAGUGGUUUUCUUUCAUAUUGGAUGAUGCUGCCUUUAUCUCCUCUCAUGUGCACCUAAUACUUAAACUUGCACAUAGUUUUAUGCAAUAUGAUGCUUGGGGAUUCUAAAAAUCUAUAACAUUUAUUGUACUAAAUAGUAGAAAGGCACAAGGAAAAUAUGGUAGUGUAUUACUUGACUUUUAAAAACUGUUUAGGACCCUUUGUGAACCCAACAAAUUGAAAUGGCUGGUAAAUAUCUCAUUGUAAUUAGAUUGACCCUAAGUUUUGCAUUUGGCAUCCAGUGGUCUGUUUCUUUGAUUUAUGUAUGGUGUAACAAAUGUCUCAAGAAUCCAAAUAUAUAUAUGGAAAAUGAAAAAAAAAAUUGUUACGCAUGUGCACUAAAUAAAUGUUUAGCAAAAGCAUGCACUCCAGUUUUUAGAAGUUGUAGAGUUCUUUAAAUGCUUGAAAAUGAAAAUUGAGCAAUGGCUGUUGGCUCAGUACUGCCAAGUAAGACACUGAUCAAAUGUGUAGUAGUAACCUGAUUAUAGGUUUAAUUUUGGACACAACUCAAUACAAAAACUCCUUGCCCUUGGCCACAUAGCUAGUGGGAAAGGAGAAAUUUAUACUCAGUUUUUUUUUUUGGUCUUAAGAUACUAAGAUGCCUAAUUCUGAAAAGCCCUAGAAAGAUCAACCUUAAAAAAAAAUGUUUUGUUCUUAUAUCGAUACAAACUUCUUUAUAUUCUAUGCCUUCUAUUGUUUUUUACAUUUUGACUCUUCGAUUGAGACACUACAUACAUUGUGCUCAAUAUUUUUCCAGUUCUGUUUUAUCCAGUUAUUAUGUAGUUUUUCCUUGUAUGUCAUUACUUUGGCUAAAAAUGAUUAAUAAGUAAACUAUUUCUAAACAUAGUUCUUUUCAAAAAUGCAUUUUUUCACACUUAAGCUUGAAAAUAGUCCAUCGGAGGCCAAAAUUGUAUAACAGCCAUGAGACGACAUGGAAAACACCUCAAACACAU